GUCUGUAAGCAGCAGAUUGUUAAAUUUCUACUUAAUUUUAUGGUUUUUGAAAGAUCUUUUUGGUGUUGAUUUUUACUUUUUUUGCACUUCAGCCUGAGAGUGUGGUUGGUAUGAUUCCAUUUCAUUUUAUCAUUUUUAUUUUUUGUAUUUGUUGACACUUGCAGUAUGGCUGAGAGUGUAGUCAAUUUUAGAGUUUUUGCCACGUGUAGAUGGGAAGAAUGUAUAUUCUGUAAUUUUUAGUGGUUGCUCUGUAGAUGUCAGUUUGUUCCAUUUUGUCAAGUGUCAUGUUUAGGUUCUGAAUAUGUUUGUUACUAUUCUGCCUAAAUCAUCUGUCGAAUACUGUCAGUGUGGGUUGAAGUCUCACUCUAUGAUUGUGUGGUUAUCUAGGUGUUUUUGUAAGUCUCUAAGAACUUACUUCACAAAUCAGGGUGCUCCACUGCUGUGUGCUUAUAUAAUAUAUUUAGGAUAGUGAAGUCUUCUUGUUAAAUUUAACUCUUCAUUAUUAUGUA
rnacentral:lncRNA from 10 species